rnacentral:lncRNA from 1 species
CCCAAAGCCCCAUAUAACGCCCCCGACGCCCCACAGAACACCCCCGACGCCCCACAGAACGCCCCCGAUGCCCCCCCUGAGGCCCCACACCGCGCCAGCAGCAGCCGCAGGACGUCGUGGGGUCGGGCGAAGGCGCGGAAGGUGCUGAGGAAGGUGGGCACGAAGGCGCCGUCGCCCAUCUUGGAGCUCUCCAGGAGGUGCUGCGUCAGGCGCGGCAGUGGGGCGGCGCGCAGCAGACGGCCGUGGGGCGCCCCAUAGCGCUGUGGGGCGGCCGAGAAGAGCGCGUCGGCUUCGCGGAGCUCCGUCUGUUAUGGGGUGGGGGUCACAUCGUGGGGUCACCUCAUGGGGGCGUCCCAAUGGCUCAUCCAUCUUUGGGGUCAUCUCUUGGGGUCAACCCGUGAGGUCACCUCAUAGGGUCAUCUCUUGGGGUCAUGCCAUGAGGUCACCCCAUAGGGUCAUCCCAAGGGGUCAUCUCUUGGGGUCAUGCCAUGAGGUCACCCCAAUGGGUCAUCUCUUGGGGUCAACCCGUGAGGUCACCCCAUAGGGUCAUCUCUUGGGGUCAUGCCAUGAGGUCACCCCAUAGGGUCAUCUCUUGGGGUCAACCCAUGAGGUCACCCCAUAGGGUCAUCCCAGUGGGUCAUCUCUUGGGGUCAUCCCACGGGGUCUUCUUGUGACCUCAUAGGGUUAUCCCAUGGGAUCAACUCAGGGUGAAACUAUAGGGCCAUCCUUUGGGGGUCACCCCAAAGGUUAUCCUACGGGGUCAUCUCAUGGGAUCGCCUCGUGGGGUCACCCCACAGAGUCAUCCCAGCGGUGUCACCCCAUGGCAGUGGCACCCACUGCCCCUCACGUGUUCCCACUGACCCCCCAGAGCCCCCUGGCCCCACUCACUCACCUGCUGUGGGUCGGACUCGGGGGGAUUGGCCCUAUAGGAGCUCAGCACCACCCCUCCUCCCGGCCCGGGGGGGUCCGCGCCCCCUCCAGCAGCGCCCGCAGCGCCCGUGGGAACAUUGGGGGCCCCACAGCUCCGCCCCACGGCUCAGCCCCACGGCGACGUCAUCCUGGGGGGGGUCUGGGGAAGGGGGGGGGGUCAGCUGCCCCAUAGCGCCCCCAUUCUGCCCCAUAGCGCCCCUCAGCGCACCCAGCGCUCCCAGUUCCUGCUCCCAGUUCCCGCCCCAUCGCUCCCAGCGCUCCCAGUUCCCCCUCCCAGUGCCCCAAUCCCCCCCCAGCCCCCCCCCGACCCCCUCCCAUCGCUGCCCCACG